GACAGAGGGUGCAAACGUUGCUCGGAAUCAUUGGGCGUAAAGCGCGUGUAGGCGGCUUGUUACGUCGGGUGUGAAAGCCCAGGGCUCAACCCUGGCAGUGCACCCGAAACGGGGAAACUGGAGUACUGGAGAGGCGAGUGGAAUUCCUGGUGUAGAGGUGAAAUUCGUAGAUAUCAGGAGGAACACCGGUGGCGAAGGCGACUCGCUGGCCAGUAACUGACGCUGAGACGCGAAAGCGUGGGGAGCAAACAGG
rnacentral:rRNA from 1 species